CCUACGGGUGGCAGCAGUGAGGAAUAUUGGUCAAUGGCCGAGAGGCUGAACCAGCCAAGUCGCGUGAGGGAAGACGGCCCUACGGGUUGUAAACCUCUUUUGUCGGGGAGCAAAGCGAGUCACGUGUGACUCAUUGAGAGUACCCGAAGAAAAAGCAUCGGCUAACUCCGUGCCAGCAGCCGCGGUAAUACGGGGGGUGCAAGCGUUGUCCGGAAUCAUUGGGCGUAAAGAGUUCGUAGGUGGCACGUUAAGUCUGGUGUUAAAGGCGGAAGCUCAACUUCCGUAGGGCACUGGAUACUGGCGAGCUUGAAUGCGGUAGAGGUAAAGGGAAUUCCUGGUGUAGCGGUGAAAUGCGUAGAUAUCAGGAGGAACAUCGGUGGCGUAAGCGCUUUACUGGGCCGUAAUUGACACUGAGGAACGAAAGCCGGGGUAGCAAAUGGGAUUAGAUACCCGUGUAGUC
rnacentral:rRNA from 1 species